rnacentral:lncRNA from 12 species
AUGUCUCUUGGGAGGCGGGGCUCCUCCGUGGUUCGAGUACCUCAGUUUACCCUGAGUCCCAGACUCUGGGUCUGCGUUACCGACGUGGUAGUGACAGCGGUGAGUCUCACCGGGGACUUGGGGAAACUGAGGCAGGAGGGGAUUUUUUUUUUUUUUUUUUUUUUUCCCCCCAGAGCCCCGGCCCACUGCGGAGCGGGGUCCGGCCUGCUGCCCCCGGAGGGCGGGCCUGCCCUCCCUUCCCCUCGCUUCCCCUCCCAGCCCCUGCCCCAGGAGCCAGGGCCCCUCCUCUACGGUGGCGGGGCGCCUAGGUACCCAGCUCCGCAGCCCGCCCGCCCUGGCCCCACACGUGGCCCGCGUGUUUUCCGGGUGGAUCGGGUCGGGGCGGCGCGCUCCCGCCCANNNNNNNNNNCCUCCCCUCCCCUCCCCCUGCCCCUCCCCUGCCCCUCCCCCCGCCCCGCUUUCCCGGGGCCCCGGCCGCCCCGCCUCCCCCCCUUCUCCCUGCGGACUCUCCCGUCUCCUCCUGCGGGCCAACUUUACGCCAAAAUUUCUUUUCUGCCCUUUUUUGGGCCGUUUCCCCGUGGGGAGGCGGGGCCGGCCUGGGGCGGGGAAGGCGGGGGGCGAGGGGAAGAGUUAGGGAGCCCCGGCGUCGGGAGUCGGGGGCGGAGGCGGCGGCCGGGCCCGGGUCGCGCGCGUGAGGCGCGGGGCUGCCCGUUUCGGUUUUCCCUCGGGUGGGGGGGAGGAAGGGGAGGGCCGGCUCGGAGGAGGGGGAAGGGGAGCCCGGGCGGAGGAAACGCGGCGGCCGCGGUUCGCCUGGCUCCGCUGAGGCCGAGGCGGGCUGGCUUUGGCGGGUGGGGUGGGAAGCGUGGGAAGCGUGGGAAGCGUGGGCGCUGGGCCCGGGCCGCGGGGGACGGGGUGCGGAACUGUGUUCAGACCCGCUUAGCUGCCUGCUUGCUACACGUGGAACAACUUGACCUCGCAGUGUUCGUUCCAGCCAUUUCCCUGCUCCCCCAAACUCGUGGGAGACCCGUCCACCCUCCCAGCACCCAGUGCUAA